GGCGAGUCCAUCCGAAAGCUGGCGCCGGACGCCGUCUCGAAAACGGUCAGGGAGCAAUCUCUUGUGGGUUCGACCCCCACACUCGCCGCCA
rnacentral:tRNA from 1 species